rnacentral:rRNA from 1 species
GACGAACGCUGGCGGCGUGCUUAACACAUGCAAGUCGAACGGAAAGGCCCUGCUUUUGUGGGGUGCUCGAGUGGCGAACGGGUGAGUAACACGUGAGUAACCUGCCCUUGACUUUGGGAUAACUUCAGGAAACUGGGGCUAAUACCGGAUAGGAGCUCCUGCUGCAUGGUGGGGGUUGGAAAGUUUCGGCGGUUGGGGAUGGACUCGCGGCUUAUCAGCUUGUCGGUGGGGUAGUGGCUUACCAAGGCUUUGACGGGUAGCCGGCCUGAGAGGGUGACCGGCCACAUUGGGACGGAGAUACGGCCCAGACUCCUACGGGAGGCAGCAGUGGGGAAUAUUGCACAAUGGGCGGAAGCCUGAUGCAGCAACGCCGCGUGCGGGAUGACGGCCUUCGGGUUGUAAACCGCUUUCGCCUGUGACGAAGCGUGAGUGACGGUAAUGGGUAAAGAAGCACCGGCUAACUACGUG